UACGAAGGGGGCGAGCGUUGUUCGGAAUUACUGGGCGUAAAGGGCGCGUAGGCGGCGCCCCAAGUCAGAUGUGAAAGUCCUGGGCUUAACCUGGGGACUGCAUUUGAUACUGGGUUGCUUGAAUUCGGGAGAGGAUAGCGGAAUUCCCAGUGUAGAGGUGGAAUUCGUAGAUAUUGGGAAGAACACCGGUGGCGAAGGCGGCUAUCUGGACCGACAUUGACGCUGAGGCGCGAAAGCGUGGGGAGCAAACAGG
rnacentral:rRNA from 1 species